rfam:Brachypodium distachyon strain Bd21 chromosome 4, whole genome shotgun sequence.
GUACUACUCCCUCCGUCCCAUAUUAAGUGACUCAAAUUUACCUAAAUAUGGAUAUAUCUAUAGCCAAAAAACAUCUAGAUACAUGUAAUAUUUCGUCACUUAAUUUGGGACGGAGGGAGUAGAAU